UACGGGGGGGGCAAGCGUUGUUCGGAAUUACUGGGCGUAAAGAGCUCGUAGGUGGUUUGUCGCGUUGUUCGUGAAAACUCACAGCUUAACUGUGGGCGUGCGGGCGAUACGGGCAGACUAGAGUACUGCAGGGGAGACUGGAAUUCCUGGUGUAGCGGUGGAAUGCGCAGAUAUCAGGAGGAACACCGGUGGCGAAGGCGGGUCUCUGGGCAGUAACUGACGCUGAGGAGCGAAAGCGUGGGGAGCAAACAGG
rnacentral:rRNA from 1 species